GUGAUAUUUUCAACUGCUAUUUUUGGAAAGAAACAGAUCAUCUUUUGGACACUAGAGCUUUCUUUGAUCUGAGCAAGAAACAAAAUCUUUUAAAGCUAAAACAGGUGGAUGUCUUGGGGUGACUUUAUGAUGUGUAUCCCCUAUUGCUGCUCUAUGCCCAGAAAUUAAUUUUGUGCAUUUCUGUGCCUUUAAACUGAGCCUGAGAGGGGGGGAGAGGAAAAAACCAAGCAAACUUUUCAAAGCAGUUGUUCAAGGUCACAGAUACACACUCCUCUGCUUCUGCAGCAGCAAAAGUAGAGGAAGUAUCCUUCUUGCUUUCAGCCAGCUUUCGGCUCCUCUUCUCUGGAGGGAGAGUUGAACUUUGUUUUCCUGGGACUUCAGUUUUUCCCUUUUUCUGGGCUGUUUCAACAUCAGAACACAUCCGGGAGAAUUUUCCACCGAGGCCCCAGAGGUGGGCUCACAGCAACCCAGCUCCGAGGAGGAGAGAGACCACACCUACAGAAGGACUCUUAAAUUUUCCCAGGUUUUUCACUUUCAGAAUAAAGCUGAAUUGAAGUUUACAGGAACAACUGUAUAAGAAGUACAGCUACUUUUUUGAUCCUUUCAAUCUUAAGAGCUAUGGAUUUUCUUGGACUACAUCUAUUCAUCUCUGCUCUGUAGCAGUUGCACCAGAUCCUUCUGUAUACAAAACAUUUGAAGCUGAAUUUUUAAGCAGCAAUACUGAAAAAAAAAAAAAAGGAAAAAAAACUACCUGAAAGGUCUAUUUCCUGAGCAUAAUUCAGAGAAAGCAUUUUCUGCAAAUAACUCCAGCUGUGAAAUCUUCCAGCAGGUCUUACUAAUUUGGAUUCAUCAUGGCAGAUUUCAAAGUCAUACUCUGAAGAGCAAGGAAUUAAAAUAGGUCAGCAGCACUGUGGGAGAAGCACACAAAAGCAGCAUCCAGCCUGCAGUGGCUCAGCAUCUCAAGCAAAACCCUGUAUCACCAUGAGCCCAGAGAGACAGACACGGAACGAGGAGCGUGGUUCACCACAGGCACCGCACAGAGUGUCGGGGUGCUGCUCUGUAUCUGCACCUGGCUGCCACUCAUGCUCCUCCUCAGCUGCCAGCAGACCUGGAAAGAGCCUUCACCAGUAGGAAAUUUGGAAAAGCAUUUUCAAAGUGACACUUUGCCCAGCAUCCCCAGUCUCCCCACACCCCCACACCUUCUCACUCUGGAGGAAAAUCUCAAAAUCUUCUUCUGAAUGUGCCCAUCAUUCCCCUUUCAGCUAAAGCCAUCACUGAAAAAUAAUCACAUCCUGACUAUAUACACCAUUUGGACCUAUGGUUUUGUUCCAGCCUAAAUCUGAUUUCUGCAUCUAAAUAUAUUCUCUAUGGGCAUUAAGGCAGGAACCAGCACCCUCCUCUCUCUACAGCUUCCAAAGCCCUUCUUAUUAACUCUUUUUAAGUGUCACAAAUUAAACAGUUAAAUCACCAUAUGAAAAUUUCCUUUAUGUUUCCUCUUUUGCACAUCUUGGGCUUUUUAGACUCUUGUCUUGCAAAUUUAUCUUGGUUCUUGUUUCCUUAUACAUUCAUUACAAGCUCUUUACUACAGAUCUGCAACAGGAAAAAAAUCAUCAUUAAUUCGUCCUAAACUUUUUUGGUCUAAAUGUAUUCAAAGAACUUCCAGUGCACAGUGCACUUAAUUCAGUCAUAGUAAACAAGGAGGAA
rnacentral:lncRNA from 13 species